rnacentral:tRNA from 1 species
GGCCUAAUAGCUCAAAUGGUUAGAGCAUCAUCCUGAUAUGACCAAGGUUUCAGGUUCAAUCUCUGGUCAGGGCA